rfam:Picea glauca, whole genome shotgun sequence.
GCGGGGAUAGCUCAGUUGGGAGAGGGUCAGACUGAAGAUCUGAAGGUCGCGUGUUCGAUCCACGUUCACCGCA